rnacentral:lncRNA from 1 species
UCAGCCCACUUGCAUCCGAGUGACUAAACAGCCUUGUUGCUUACACAAAGCCUGUUUAGGUGGUCUUCUAUAUGGACAUGCAUGGCAAUAUUUACAACAAAUACCAAGGAAGAGCUAAGAGCACAUAGCAUUUCCCAGGCUUAUUAGACUGUGGGAUCAACCUCUUUAAGGCAGCAUUUUGCAGAAUUGUUGUUCACAGGUCAUUCUGCAGUGUGAAGUUUUUUUUGCAAUGAGAUCCUUACUCUAGUGUUAACUUCACUAGGAAGUCCACUCUGGGUGUUUACCUUUAGAGCUUCAGUUUCUACAAGAAUUUGGCACCGGUUGGGUCUUGUAGAAAUAUUUACUGCAUGGAGUUGAAAGAAGAGUCUGGACUGGGAGAAGGAAGUAUGGAUAAAGAACAAGGGUUCUUUUCAGAAAACCAAGCAGCUACCGGAUACUGACCUUAUUCUAAAGGCCAACAGAAGUGGAGUAAGGUGCAAUUUGGAAUUCAAUCAAUACUGAAGGGUGAUGGUGACCUUUGGGAAAUAGGAUUCAGCAAUGUCUUUUUAAAUUCCGUUAUUUGUACAUAAUGCACACUUACAGACUUUUUUAAAAAAAAUCCAAUUCCAGAUGAAAAACUUUUACACUGAAUUUAUUACAUUUUUAAAAAUACAUAAACUCAGACUUUAUUU